rnacentral:misc_RNA from 1 species
GAUGAAGAACGUAGUGAAAUGCGAUAAGUAAUGUGAAUUGCAGAAUUCAGUGAAUCAUCGAAUCUUUGAACGCACAUUGCGCCCCCUGGAAUUCCGGGGGGCAUGCCUGUUCGAGCGUCUCAGGGACGAACCCUCGCGCGGGUGUACGCGCGGUCGUGGCUGCGGUGGCGUGCCCGAGGCGGCGGCCACCGCGCUGGAAUCCCUGGGCGGACGCCUGCCGCGUGGCCGAGCGUGAUAUGACGCAUUGGCGCUCGCACGCGGCGAGGCUGCCAGCCCUGGCCCGUCUGUCGGGCGGGGGAGAGCAAGACACGUGAACUCCUCGAAUCAGGUAGGGAUACCCGCUGAACUUAAGCAUAUCAAUAAGCGGAGGA